UUUAAGGUCUAAUCUGCCCUAUGAGUAGUUAAAUGGCCGCGGUAUUUUGACCGUGCAAAGGUAGCAUAAUAAUUAGUUUUUUAAUUGAAAGCUGGAAUGAAUGAUUGGACGAGAAAAUUACUGUCUCAAUUUAAUUUAAUUAGAAUUUUAUUUUUAAGUAAGAAAGCUUAAAUUUUUUUAAAAGACGAGAAGACCCUAUAGAGUUUUAUAAUAUAGUUUUUAUUAAUUUUUUAGAAUUUUUAUAUUAAUAAUUUUUAUAUUAUUUUAUUGGGGUGAUAGAAAAAUUAAAUUAACUUUUUUUAUAUUAUUACAUUUAUAAAUGAUUAUAUGAUCCAUUUUUUAUGAUUAUAAGAUUAAAUUACCUUAGGGAUAACAGCGUUAUUUUUUUUUAGAGUUCUUAUCGAAAAAAGGGAUUGCGACCUCGAUGUUGGAUUAAAAUAAAUUUUUGGUGUAGUAGCUAAAAUAUUAAGUCUGUUCGACUUUUAAAAUUUUACA
rnacentral:rRNA from 1 species